rnacentral:rRNA from 1 species
AGGACGAACGCUGGCGGCGUGCCUAACACAUGCAAGUGGAGCGACGAACCAGGGCUUGCCCUGGGGCCAAGCCGCGAACGGGUGAGUAUCACGUGGGUAACCUGCCCCGAUGACCGGGACAACCCGAGGAAACUCGGGCUAAUACCGGAUGUGGUGCACACACAUAAGUGUGUUCACUAAAGGAAGCUUCGGCCUCCGCAUUGGGAUGGGCCCGCGGCCCAUUAGCUUGUUGGUGGGGUAAAGGCCUACCAAGGCAACGAUGGGUAGCUGGUCUGAGAGGAUGAUCAGCCACAUUGGGACUGAGACACGGCCCAAACUCCUACGGGAGGCAGCAGUGGGGAAUAUUGGACAAUGGGCGCAAGCCUUAUCCAGCCAUGCCGCGUGAGUGAUGAAGGCCUUAGGGUUGUAAAGCUCUUUUACCCGGGAAGAUAAUGACUGUACCGGAGAAUAAGCCCGGCUAACUUCGUGCCAGCAGCCGC